GCAAGAAACAAAGAAUUGUAUUGUGGGUUCUGUCUUUGGUGGUGAAAAAAGCCAAGGGGAGAUUGAAGGGACUAUCAACGAUGUGAAGACGGAGAAAGAGGAACAGCUGGAUUCUGCGAAAAGUGAAGUGGGUUACCUUGGAGCUGAAGAAUUUGAUAAACAUGGAGCCUCAGACACAGGAGAUUUAAACGGAAUUGAAGUGGAAAUGGGUUCUGUCAUUGUGGAGAAAAAGGAGCAUUUCGUGAAGGAAAAAACGGAAGCACAGACUUUGCUGGAAGCCAAAAAGAAGCAAUUAUUGGCAAAACUCGAUGCUGGUUCGAUCAUUAAAGACAAAAUCCAUGUCGAAAAUGUUCCGGCUUUCAACACUACUACAGGAAUCUUGGGGGGUCUCAAAGGAAUUGAUGACUCUGUUAGCCCUUUUCUGAAGGUUGAAGUAACUGACGAUACAGCAUUGAUUGAAACGGUUCCACUCCCCAAAACUGGUAAUAUUUGUGUAAAGAUUUCUGGGGGGAAUGGAAAGAAGAAUGAGAAACAAGAAGCUGGUGGAAAGAAGGCAAAACGACCACGAAGAAAGGGAAAGGAUGUGAAAAAGGUUCUGGAGGUUGGUGACGAACAAAAGAAAAUGACCGACUUUGGCAAAGCUGCAAGUAAAAUAAGCCAAGCUGGUGAAGCUCAAAAUAGUGGUCAAAAGAAUGGAAGUCAAAUACUCGAGGGAGGAGAUGGAGACCCUGCGGUUUGUGAACAUUGUAGACCAGAGAAAGUUGUGGAGAGCGAUACACACUGGCCUUGGAGAUGCUGUUGUAAAGGAGUAUAAUGACUUGGCAGGCUUAAAGCGUCAGAAGAACAUUUGCAGAAACUUUGAUCCUCGACAGAUCUUUGGAAGGAAGGAAGAUGUCCCUGGAAUUCUCGGGGAAGUGUCUUCUGAAAAUUGUGAAAAUGAAUUAGAGAACACUGAAGAUAAGGCAGAACAUUUAAACCUAUUGGGUCCUUCUCGUCAGAGUUUUGGGGGUGAAGACACCUGCACAUUUUUGGAAGAAGAGUAUGAUGAAGAUGAGGACAGUGACGAAGAUUAUGCUAGCAUCCAUAGACCUGCUUUUCUUGUAGAAGGAGAGCCAGAUUUUGAUUCUGGACCUCCAGAAGAUGGUUUGGAAUUUCUUAGGCGUGUCAGGUGGGAAGCUGCGAAUAUUCCAAAAGUUAAAGUGGCCAAGCUUGAUAGGAGUAAAGUUAGUAAAGAACAAAGUGUUUAUAUGCCUCAGAUUCCUGAGAUUGCAAAGUGCCCAGAAAAUUUAAAGCCGUUGAAGCAAUGGGAGGAUGCAUUUCUUGCUGAUUUUUCAGAGUUACGGAUGUUUUUGUCCUGCAAUGAAGCUUCGAGGUCUGAAAUUUCAUGUAAACUGCAAUCCAUGGUUAUUGUUAAUGAGCAGAACACUUCCUCCCCUCAGCUUGCUGAAAGUGUUAUUCUUGAAAAGUUUAAUAACCUCAGAACAGAUGAAGUCCAUUCCAAUAAGGUGCUUGAUGUUUCCUGCCUCAGUAACGCAGUUGACCCGUUAUCUGUAGGAAAUGCUGAAGACAGUAAAAUAUUAGCAUAUUCUCAGGACAACUCUCCUAAAAGUUCUAUCAGCGAUUCUUCAUGCAACUGCCCUACAUUGUCUGCAAUUUUAGCAAUGGAUUCUGUAGCACGAGCAUCAGUGCUGAGGAAACGCAUAAACUCGGUAGAAACCAUGAGCAUGCUGUCAAAAAAUGAUUGUGUAUGGCUCUUUGCUUUAUGCGCAGCAGUUGAUACUCCAUUAGACGCUGACACUAGUGCUGCUCUUCGAAGCCUCCUCCGUAAGUGUGCUAGCUUGCGAGCUGCAAAGUCUGAACUUGAUGAUGAGGUUGUAAUGCUGAAUAUUCUUGCCACAAUUUCUGGCAGGUAUUUUGGACAGUCUGAAAAUUGAAGCUUUGCCAUCCUUAGUAGGUCUCUUAAAGGAGUGAGCUUUCCAAUUUGCUAAAGUUCUUCCUUUCCUUUUCUUUUUGCUCCCAAAAGAAUCUCCAAGAUGCUAGAACAAUUUUUUGUGUUGGGAAAUUUAGGUUUUAAUGGAUAGAAACCCAAGAAAUCAAGCUUGGUAAAGCUUUGGUUAUGGAGGGCAAAGGGGGUGGCAUGAAGAAGAAGGAGAGAGGAGCUUCACGAAUUUUUU
rnacentral:misc_RNA from 1 species